AUGAUGUGGUGGUACAGUACUAAGCAGGCUAGUUAUGAUGCUAAUUUAAUAAUGGGGGAGGUGCGGAGUGGGGUUCAGAUCUGGGGGGUACUGACCUCGCCGGAGCUUGCUCUUCCUGGAGCCGGUGACGGCGGGCGCCUUCCUGUCCGGGGCGGACACCGGCGUGGCCGGCUUCUUGUCGUCCUCCGGGAGCAGCACGGCGUCGAUGCCCUGCACCGAGAUCCUGCCGUCCGUGUAGAUGUCCGGGUCGAAGAGGUAGGCGGAGCCCUCGCCCUGCCCGAACUUGACGGAGCCGUCCGCCUCCCGCGCCACCACCUUGUGCGGCAGCCGCAGCGUGUCGUACCGCACCUUGCCGAACCGGCGGACGGCGUUGUACAUGCUCUCCUCCGUCUGGUACUCCGGGAUCAUGUGGUAGUACAGGAUGUUCUCCGGCGACCCGGGCUCGCUGAGCUGGUCCGUGGUCAGCCGCGCCAUGGCCUCGUCGUUGGGGGCCAGCACGGUGAGCACGUACCCCUCGGAGACGAGCCGGCCCAUCUCGGUGGCCAGCGAGGUGAGGUUGACGAGGAUGUCGGCGAGCUCGUUGUACCCGCCGUAGAGGACCAGGGUCUGGAUGAAGUCCUUGACCUGGCUGUGGCCGUCGAAGUGGUGCUUCCCGUUGCCCGGGCCGGGCGCGGGCGCGGGGGCGAUGGAGGGGCCGGGGGCCAUGGCGUCCCACACGGGGAGCACGGGGGGCGCGCCGGGGAGGACCGGCGGCGCGGGCUUCUUGAGGCGGUGCGUCCUGGGGUCGACCUCGGGCGCGCCGGUGGGGAGCACGGCCGAGAUCGCGGCGAGGCUGCGGCGGCGGUUGAAGUCCUCCUGCACGGAGCGGGGGACGAGGAGGCGCUCGAUGCCGUGGAUGACGCCGUCGGGCCUGAGCACGGCGUCGGGGCGCGUGACGGCGGCGUGGGCGACGCGCAUGGAUCCGUUGGCGCCGGCGGCGAGCUCGACGUCCUCGCCGGAGAGCGUGGGGUGGGAGGCCGCGGGCCAGGACCCCGCCGGGUGGCGCGCCGGGAGGACGUGGAAGAGGAGCAGCGUCUGGAGCGACUUGAGGUUGCGGGGCUCGAGCAGGAAGCGCUUGAACUCCGGGUCGAGGUCCCGCUCCAGCGCCUCGUUCCGGGGCGCGAAGAUGGUGACGUUGUGGCGGCCCACGGCGUCCUCCAGCGUCUGCAGCAGCAGCGCCUUCUCCACCAGCUCCGCCAGCUCCGUGUAGUGCGAGUCCAGCAGCGCCACCAGCACCGAGUUGGAGUUCACCCCCGCCCCGGACGCGUUCACGACGGCCGCCGCGGCCGCCACCACCACCCCGUCGCCACCGCCAGCGGCGGCCACGGCGGGCAAUGUGGGUUCCUCCGGCCGCGCCGUCUCAGCGGCGGCGGCGCCCGCGGCCAGCGCGAGCGCGAAGAGGAGCACGGCGCCGUACGCCGGCGCACCCAUGGCGGAGCGCCUCUGCUCUGCCACGCGGCCCGCUCUAGCUGCCCCUGCUGCUGCUGCUGCUGCUCGUCGGCGGCGGCGGAUUUCUUGGAUUUGCGGUGGUGGCUGGCUGCUGCUCCAGCUAGCAAGCUCCUGGGGAGGGGGGGAGAGGGGAGUAACUAUAUGGUGUUGGGUGGUGUGAGCUUUUCUUCCCCCUCUUUUGUUUAG
rnacentral:rRNA from 1 species